GCUUUCUUUUUCCUAAUGUCUCACUUGACGCUGAUUAAAAUAUCUCGUUCCACUGCCGUGUCUAUCUAAGUUAGUAACUUCCAACACCGAAUGUGACGGCCAGUAUUCACAUGUAACGUUAACGUUAAAUAUAUACGUUACAAACUCCAAAGCAGAAUGGCAUAUAGCGUCGUUUCAAAGCAAAGUCCACAUCUGCCCGACCUGUCAAAAGGCAGGCAGCUAACGUUAGAGCAAUGACAGUCAACGGAACCGGUUAGCUUAGCAUACUGGCUAACGAUAGCUAGCUCGGCAGCGAGGACAGCUCGUAUCGUGACACCAACGUGCACAGGCAACCGACGGCAAAACGACACCGAGGUGCACAAUUCCGAAGCAUUUUAUCACGUUUUACUAAUCAGCCUACUUACCCGUUAGAAUCCCUACUCGGGUCUGAUGGUCGUGGUUGGUGAGCACCAUACCGUCCGCCGCCAUGUUUACAACCUCUGUCUGCACUGUGCCGGCACAUACAUAGAAACAGUGUGGUGUGCGGGCUGCUGCUGCACCUCUGGAGGACGACUCUGUAUGUGUGUGAGCGCGCGUGUCCUUUGGGAUUUCAGUUCCUCCUCCUGAUCCUCACCUCACUCCCUUCACCUGGUUGUCCCCGCCUCGCUCCUCACCUGCCCUGCAGCUUAUUAGUCUGUGCACUUAUACCAGCCUCUUGCAAAACUGGCCAGUCUUCAGCCUACCGUUUCAGUGUUCCCUAGUUAGUCUUGGCCUGCUUCACCUGUUUCCUGGACCUUCUUCUGCCUAUUGGAUUUUGAUUUGUUUGCCUUUCUCUCAGACUGAUAACCUGGUAUUUUGACCCAGUCUGCUUAAUUAUGAGUAAACUGAACUUUGCCUUGUAUUACUGUCUCUGAGUUGUGCAUCUGGGCUCAUUCCUGUUAAGUUUCAUCUGAAAUGUGACAGUUGUAUUCGUUUCUGCAAUCAAUAAACUUGGUAAAGGCU